CUCUCAUAAAAUCAGUCCCAAUCAGUGAGAUCAAAGCAGGCCUGGAGAGAGGCAAUAUUAUCUUCUGACCAGAUUUUUACGCUCCUCUGUGGACCUCAAUUCUGCAUCUGAACAGGUCAUGGGUGAGAGGAAGUACCCUGCUCUUCAUCUUUCUGGCACAGAUACUGGAGAGACAUUUGGGCUAGAAUAUGCAGAACCAGAAACCCGUCCAGUGCCGCUCAACUGGGACAAGCACAAAUCCAGGUCCGCGCCCACUGAGACUCCACAUCCUCUGUCCAGCCCACUCACUCCAAGGCCGGAGCUUCCUCCUCCUAUGCCGGAGACUCCAGCCAGGAUCUUUCAGUUCUGCUCUCAGCUGUCUGACUCUCCAGUUGAAGAUCAAACUGUGCAACCACAAACCAAAAUAGAAGGUGCAGCUCCGUCACCAUUCCCCCUUCUAUCUACACCAUCUUCUGCAUGUACUGGACCCAUAAAGACUGGAGGGAGAGUCUGCGCUGACCUGCCCCCAUGAAUGAGGUCAUUGAUCGCCCCCUCACGAAGCACCGGGGACAAAAGGACAUGCUGAAGCUAGUGUACCAGGACUAUGCUGCUCUGGUUCAAAGCUACUGCCGGGACCCAAACAGCUUGCUCCACCCUGUGACAAGACACAUCAAACUCCUGAGGUUAGGGACUGCAGAUGGAAACUAGCUGUCUAGCUAUAAUCUGGUGCAGAACAUCUCUGUUUGUUUUAAACUUAAUGAAUCUGUACACUGUCCCUUCAAAUAAAGACUAAACCUAAACCGGAACACGACCACAUCCCUGAACACCAGCCCAGAAAAGCUCCAGGACCGACAAAGGCUGUGGGAUUCUCUCACAUCAGGAAUUGAAACCACCAGUGUCCCAGUUGUGCAGAUGUCUGAUCAUAUCACUAUUCCACCUCCACCGGCUCAGGCUCCCACCACAACUCUGACCCAUGAAACUGUUGAAAAAAACGUCCAAAACAUCCUAGAGAAGCAGCAGCAGCACGAACAACUGGACGCACAAAAAAGCCCCAAACUAAAAAGUGCCUUUCCUGUGGCCAGCCCAAAUCCAGAUAUGAGAAUGAUGGUUCCUCCCUCCACUUUUUCUAUCAGCAAUGACCUGUCAUGGUACUUUUAUUGCCCUACAAAAGUCUUUCAAACAUAAAAUGCAGAGGGCCUGACAAACCCCAAAAUGGCGUUUGAAUAUUUUUUGAAGACAGAAUUUUUCCAGCGGGAACUUGAGGGAACACAGAAGAGGACGGAGGAGAAAAAAAACAACUGAAAGGAAACAAACAGAAACUGCUGUACCUGCUGGGCGCAAGUGCUUAUUCUGCAAGCUGUCUCUGAAACAAGGACCAGACAGCCCUCAAAUCCACACCAACUUCCCAGGCGUGGUAGGGAAGUACAUCUACUGCCCUGGUAAAGUUUUCUCCCUCCAUAGAGGGAUGAGAAUGGGAGAUGUCCUGGAGCAGCCUUAAGGGUUCAACAUUUUACAAAUUAGAGAGGCAGCGAUAGGAGGAAGAAAGGAAAAAAUGAAGAGAAAAAUUGGCUUAUCUUCUCAUGUCUAAAUAUUAUGUAUGUAUGUAUGUAUAUAUACAUGUCUUUAUAACUGUAUUAAGCAAUACAUGUACUUAUGUAUAUUAAAAAAAUAACAUUUUA